AAGCUGCGAUAAGUAAUGUGAAUUGCAGAAUUCAGUGAAUCAUCGAGUCUUUGAACGCACAUUGCGCCCAUAGGUAUUCCUUUGGGCAUGUCUGUUUGAGCGUCAUUACAACCCUCAGCUAACCGCUGGUUUUGAACCUGAACGGGUGACACCGCGCCGGUUUUAAAGUUGUAAGCUCUGCUGGCCGCUCUGCCCAACCAGAACAUAGUAAGCACUACUUGUCCGGGUGAAGCUGAACGGUACAGCCUGAACAAAACCUACCCACUCUCAAGGUUUGACCUCAGAUCAGACAAGGAUACCCGCUGAACUUAAGC
rnacentral:misc_RNA from 1 species